CGCAUCUGUGCAUGCAGCAUAUCAAUAAGCGGAGGAAAAGAAACUAACAAGGAUUCCCUUAGUAACGGCGAGUGAAGCGGGAAGAGCUCAAAUUUGAAAUCUUCAAGGUUUUACCUUGACGAAUUGUAGUUUAAAGAAGUGUUUUCUGUUGAAGUUUUGGUAAAAGUUCUUUGGAAUAGGACAUCAUAGAGGGUGAGAAUCCCGUAUUUGACCAUUAUUUUCAGCUGUGUGAUACACUUUCAAAGAGUCGGAUUGUUUGGGAAUGCAGUCCAAAAUGGGUGGUAAAUUUCAUCUAAAGCUAAAUAUUGGCGAGAGACCGAUAGCGAACAAGUACCGUGAGGGAAAGAUGAAAAGAACUUUGAAAAGAGAGUUAAACAGUACGUGAAAUUGUCAAAAGGGAAGCGUUUGACACCAGUGUUGUUUUCUCGAAAAUCAAUUAAAAAGAGUUAGAUUUUGUUGUGUAUUGACCUUAACAGCUUGCAUUCCAAUUUUCUUGCUUUUUUUAAUGCACUUUUCGUUUAACAAGUCAACAUCAGUUUCUUUUGUUGUAAAAAGGUCAUUGGAAGGUGGCUUUCUUUUCGGAGAAAGUGUUUAUAGCCUUUGACUCCUGCAAUCGGAGAGACUGAGGUCUGCAGCGUAGAUCCUUCGGGGUUAGAUACAUUUGUGCUAAGUUAUAGCUUUUUAUAGACAACUUGUUGACUAUGAUUAGUCUUGUAGCUUACUCGCUUAUGCUAUUUUACCUACGCUUAGGAUGUUGAAGACUCUACAGAGAUA
rnacentral:rRNA from 1 species